rnacentral:lncRNA from 1 species
UUUCACUUGUAAAGGCCCCGUAUUUUGUAUAAUACGUUCUAUUUCUAUUUCGCACCCUGCGCUUGCGGUGAAUCCAGUACCGGCACGAGAAGUUCGAGUUCCGCCGAGGCUUCGAGGCUUCAUCCGGGCGAACGAGAGUGCGGAGAACGACCGAAAUGGGGGCAGCAAGCCGUUGACGACAGGGCCUCAGAGCGCGAGGGCGAUAAAUUACGAGGAAUCAAUAUCGUAAAUCUAGCAAAAAGAGGAGCCUAUGAAUUGUAACGUACAAGAUAAGAUUUGUACCGCAUGAAGCAUGGUCGUACAUUACAUAAUCAGAGGAAUUUACAUUCGGUGUAUUGAAAGUAGAUGUAACACGUGGGAAGAUUAGACGGCGGGAGGAACUCUGGUUGCCGAAGGAUACAGAGGAGUUUGUGAGAAAUACUUGAACAUGGACGAAGAAGAAAAAAAAAAAACGAGAAGAAAACAAGAAAUGGAAUAAAGGAAAAAGAGACAGGAAGAGGCGGGGAUAAGAAAAUUUAUCGCGCAGCAUAGCAAAGGACGCGAGAGUCAAAGUUACUUUACUCCCGGGAACGAGAAUACAGGCAGUAGAUGGUGACGGAUCCGACUAGUUAGCGAAGAACAACCGAUUUAAUGAGCGCUCAGCGGACAAAAGAACAAUACCCGUUCCUAACCGUUUCUCUCUUUUUUAUACUUCGCCUCUGUUGCCAGCUCUUAUCUUCACAUCUUCAAAGCAAAUAGAGCGAGGUGUACGGAAGGAAAGAAAGAAAAGAGAAGAGACGAAAAGCGGAAAGAAAAUGCGGAGGCGAUUCAUCAGGGGUGAUAAUUUAUUCUGCCACGACGAAUUCGUGAUUCCAGAGAAUUUGCAAAGUCGAGAGGUAAGGCUAUUACGUUGAUGAAAUUAAAACAUUUGUAAAGUGGUUAUUUUCAUCGAAAUUACAAUCGCAGGAAACAUGAGUUACCUAUUGUUGGAGGAACGAGCCGUCGGCAAAUAUUACCGGGCGUUGAAAACUGUGAUAAUCCUGUUACAAUCACGGUAACGAAAUUUUUACAUAGUUUACGAACACUUCGAAGGUGUAUUUACCUUCUUGGAUUCGAGUGGAUAAUGCGUACAAUGAGCUGAACUGAUCCUCGAGUUCGAUGGAUUGGUACACAAGCGUAAAGUAAAACGAAAGCGUGGAUAAACUCCGAGGUGUCGGGUGAAUAUUGAGAAAAUUGUUUGCGUGUAAACUGAGCGUGAACGUCACACUGUGAAUUCUUUAUUUCUGCAGCGCACUGAGGCAAUAGAAAAAGAUGAAAAGAGAGAGAAAGAGAGAAUGAGAGGGGGGCAAAGGAGGAGAGGACAAGAAAUACCGAAAGUGAUUUGGUACGAAGGAAUGAGCGAAAAGUUUCUCAACUCGCCUCGAGGGCCAAGUAAUAAGUUUUCGAGGCUUUUGUUUAAAUUUGAUGUUUGCUUAAUCAAUCAACCGGGCAUCGACAAGGUUUUGUAUUGUUAUACGAAUAAUCGCGCCGUUCGAGCGACGAAUAAAAGCGAAAUUUGAAUUGUUCAUUGAUUUAUAUUAGGGGCACAAAGAAAACAAUUCUGUCGAGCUGACGCUUCGCGGAUCGAGGUGAGCCACUCGAAUCGAAAAAUGCUGAUUCUCGAUUAUAAAAUUCUUGUGUACGAAUGUACCUUCGCUUAUUGGUUCCGGUAUACUGCCAAGAACAAUUUAACGCACAAAGCCAAGUCAGCGAGAAGAGUGGCAAUGAUAAUUAUUUAAAAACUCACCGUUAUCCCAGGCUGCCUCUUUCGUUCUGAGAAGGGCUGCCAAGCCGAUGUUGUCCUUCGGCAU